rnacentral:rRNA from 1 species
GAUGAACGCUAGCGGCAGGCCUAACACAUGCAAGUCGAGGGGUAGAGUUCUUCGGGACUUGAGACCGGCGCACGGGUGCGUAACGCGUAUGCAAUCUACCUUAUACAGGGGAAUAGCCCAGAGAAAUUUGGAUUAAUGCCCCAUAGUGUUAUCGAAUCGCAUGGUUUGAUAACUAAAGUUCCAACGGUAUAAGAUGAGCAUGCGUCCCAUUAGUUAGUUGGUAAGGUAACGGCUUACCAAGACAAUGAUGGGUAGGGGUCCUGAGAGGGAGAUCCCCCACACUGGUACUGAGACACGGACCAGACUCCUACGGGAGGCAGCAGUGAGGAAUAUUGGUCAAUGGGCGCAAGCCUGAACCAGCCAUGCCGCGUGCAGGAAGAAGCAUCUAUGGUGUGUAAACUGCUUUUAUACAGGAAGAAACCCCUCCCACGUGUGGGAGCUUGACGGUACUGUAGGAAUAAGGAUCGGCUAACUCG